rnacentral:rRNA from 1 species
CUGGUUGAUCCUGCCAGACCCGACUGCUAUCAGAGUGGGACUAAGCCAUGCGAGUUAACGUAGCAAUACGUGGCAUACGGCUCAGUAACACGUGGUCAACAUACCCAGAGGACGUGGAUAACCUCGGGAAACUGAGGAUAAACCGCGAUAGACCAUAAUGUCUGGAAUGAUUUAUGGUUCAAAUCUACAUGGCCUCUGGAUUGGACUGCGGCCGAUCAGGCUGUUGGUGAGGUAAUGGCCCACCAAACCUGAAACCGGUACGGGCUCUGAGAGGAGAAGCCCGGAGAUGGGCACUGAGACAAGGGCCCAGGCCCUAUGGGGCGCAGCAGGCGCGAAAUCUUUGCAAUAGGCGAAAGCCUGACAAGGUUACUCUGAGUGAUCUCCGCUAAGGAAAUCUUUUGACACCUCUAAAAAUGGUGUAUAAUAAGGGGUGGGCAAGCCUGGUGUCAGCCGCCGCGGUAAUACCAGCACCCCGAGUGGUCAGGACGAUUAUUGGGCCUAAAGCAUCCGUAGCCGGUUCCUUAAGUCCUCCGUUAAAUCCACCUGCUUAACAGAUGGGCUGCGGAGGAUACUAUAGAGCUAGGAGGCGGGAGAGGCAAGCGGUACUCAGUGGGUAGGGGUAAAAUCCGUUGAUCCAUUGAAGACCACCAGUGGCGAAGGCGGCUUGCCAGAACGCGCUCGACGGUGAGGGAUGAAAGCUGGGGGAGCAAACCGGAUUAGAUACCCGGGUAGUCCCAGCUGUAAACGA